rnacentral:rRNA from 1 species
UACGUAGGUGGCGAGCGUUGUCCGGAAUUACUGGGUGUAAAGGGAGCGCAGACGGAACUGCAAGUCUGAUGUGAAAGCCCGGGGCUCAACCGCGGGACUGCAUCGGAUACUGUGGAUCUGGAGUGCCGGAGGGGCAAGCGGAAUUCCUGGUGUAGCGGUGAAAUGCGUAGAUAUCAGGAGGAACACCGGCGGCGAAGGCGGCUUGCUGGACGGCAACUGACGUUGAGGCUCGAAAGCGUGGGGAGCAAACAGGAUUAGAUA